rnacentral:misc_RNA from 1 species
GAUGAAGAACGUAGCGAAAUGCGAUACGUAAUGUGAAUUGCAAAUUCAGUGAAUCAUCGAGUCUUUGAACGCACAUUGCGCCCCCUGGUAUUCCGGGGGGCAUGCCUGUCCGAGCGUCAUUGCUGCCCUCAAGCACGGCUUGUGUGUUGGGCCCCGUCCUCCGAUCCCGGGGGACGGGCCCGAAAGGCAGCGGCGGCACCGCGUCCGGUCCUCGAGCGUAUGGGGCUUUGUCACCCGCUCUGUAGGCCCGGCCGGCGCUUGCCGAUCAACCCAAAUUUUUUAUCCAGGUUGACUUCGGAUCAGGUAGGGAUACCCGCUGAACUUAAGCAUAUCAAUAAGCGGAGGA